AUUGAACGCUGGCGGCAUGCUUUACACAUGCAAGUCGAACGGUAACAGCACUGCGUUGGCUGACGAGUGGCGCACGGGCGAGUAAUACAUCGGAACGUGCCUAGUAGUGGGGGAUAACUACUCGAAAGAGUAGCUAAUACCGCAUGAGAUCUAAGGAUGAAACCAGGGGACUUUCGGGCCUUGCGCGACUAUAGCGGCUGAUGGCAGAUUAGGUAGUUGGUGGGAUAAAAGCUUACCAAGCCGACGAUCUGUAGCCGGUCUGAGAGGAUGACCAGCCACACUGGAACUGAGACACGGCCCAGACUCCUACGGGAGGCAGCAGUGGGGAAUUUUGGACAAUGGGCGCAAGCCUGAUCCAGCAAUGCCGCGUGAAGGAUGAAGGCCUUCGGGUUGUAAACUGCUUUUGUAAGGGACGAAAAGACCUCUUCUAAUACAGGAGGGUCAUGACGGUACCGUAAGAAUAAGCACCGGCUAACUACGUG
rnacentral:rRNA from 1 species